rnacentral:rRNA from 1 species
AAUGCGCCUGAUCUCGUCCGAUCUCAGGAGCUAAG